CAAAUGUGAAAUGCAGCAUAUGGAUUUAUGAAAAGAAAAGUGCAAGAUGUGAAAUAUCCUGAGUAUCUGGAUCUUCGAACAUACGCAUCUCAAUCCGUUGGAGAACCACUCCUCUAUGCCUUAUAUGCAGUCCUGGUAUAUAGAGGUGUCAGUAGUCAUGCAGGACGUUAUUUCUGCUACACAAAGGUAAAUAACAAUUUCAUUUCUAACAGGGUGAGCUCUGUGCUGGUGAGGAGGUACUUGCAUGAAAACUUUACUGGUAACCACUGCUUUUAGGGAAAAAGGUUUUAUUUCAUGUUUAAUUUGAUCUUUUUUGGUGUAUUCUCUGUUCUGAAGAGUUCUCUUUGUGUUUUCAUUUAGAAAGUGUGCAGUUCCUCUGAAGACAUGGCUGCUUUUAUUUGCAGGCUGCUGGUAGACUUUGAUCUGAGAUGAAUGAUGCCUCUGUAGUCUUUUGUGAAAUCAAAAUGGUUCUCAGUCAGCAAGCUUAUUUACUUUUUAAUAUCAGAAAUCAAGUCAUUUAAAUGGAAAUGAACCCCUAAAAGAAGAUCCAAAUACCAUUGCUGUUACCCUAGAAAGGCCUUCUUCGGCUCCACCAACAGCUUGUGUUCAAAACUAGGCAAUUACCAGGCCUUUAUUUGCUGAUCCCUCAGAAAAACAAAAGAUCACUUCAUAACAAACUGCCUGCACAUCAAACUG